rnacentral:pre_miRNA from 1 species
GCGGGAGGCCGCAUCCUGGGCUGUGUCCCCGGCGCCCUGUGCUCCCGGGCCUGCGCUGUUGGAUUUGCGCUCCCGGCAGGCAGCCCCGU